GUUCUCUGAAGGACCAUUCCAGCUGCAGAAGUACUUCUGAAUGGGUGAAGAAAGGGCACUAAAAUGUACCAAAAGAUUUUGGGCCCAAGUGACAUCCAGACCAUUUUUCUUUUCUAUUAAAGUAAACUGAAGUUUAGAUAAGGGCUAGAUUAAAUUCAAGGAAACUCCUGAUAACCAUGUUAAGAUCAACCACAGUAGGCUGAGUUUUACUGAAACCUUGGUCCUCUUAAGCUACUACAUACUGAUUCUAUUAUAAGUACAUUUUGAUUCUCCCCAGAAACUAAAAAUACUUAAAAAAAAAAAAAAAAAGAAAAAAAGAGGGAACCACCACGGGUGCAUCACAUAUAUGGAAAUACCUAUCCGCCAACCAGGAGCGGUAUUAGUGCACUCCAGAUGCAGCCGAACUCCACCAUCCAGGCUGCCAAAGGGGAGACAGAGAAAAGGGGGAUUAAACAAGAAAUACCCAGUUUAUGUAAUUCACACACAAAUCCAGGAAGCACAUAAAAGUAAGAUAACCACUUACCUUCACAAAACACAGGGGGAGAAAUGCAACAUAGUAGGCACUGAAGAGGGAGUUGAAGAGAACCUCCUUGAUUCUGUGGUUGAAAU
rnacentral:lncRNA from 1 species